rnacentral:rRNA from 1 species
CUGAGUUAAAGAAACCAACAGGGAUUGCCCCAGUAACGGCGAGUGAAGCGGCAACAGCUCAAAUUUGAAAUCUGGCUCUCGGGCCCGAGUUGUAAUUUGUAGAGGAUGCUUUUGGUGAGGUGCCUUCCGAGUUCCCUGGAACGGGACGCCAUAGAGGGUGAGAGCCCCGUCUGGUUGGACGCCGAACCUCUGUAAAGCUCCUUCGACGAGUCGAGUAGUUUGGGAAUGCUGCUCUAAAUGGGAGGUAUAUGUCUUCUAAAGCUAAAUACCGGCCAGAGACCGAUAGCGCACAAGUAGAGUGAUCGAAAGAUGAAAAGAACUUUGAAAAGAGAGUUAAACAGUACGUGAAAUUGUUGAAAGGGAAGCGCUUGUGACCAGACUUGGGCUUGGUUGAUCAUCCGGGGUUCUCCCCGGUGCACUCUUCCGGCUCAGGCCAGCAUCAGUUCGCCCUGGGGGAUAAAGGCAUCGGGAACGUGGCUCUCUCCGGGGAGUGUUAUAGCCCGUUGCGUAAUACCCUGUGGCGGACUGAGGUUCGCGCAUUCGCAAGGAUGCUGGCGUAAUGGUCAUCAGUGACCCGUC